rnacentral:lncRNA from 7 species
AGAUUAUACAAGGAAAAAGCAUGAAGGAAGCUGCCAGAAGCUGGAAGGCUGGAAAACUGUGUCUUCUGUAUGUGUAACAUUUAUCACCGUGUAAUAUCCUGCACUGUGACUCGAGCCACAAAAGUGUAAUUGAAGCAAAGAGCAAUGAAUAAGCUGUAUCACCAGAGAAGCUUUUGCUAUGACACUUGUAAGAGAUUUCCUUAUACCUGCCCACCUGCUUGCAGCACUGGUUUGAACCUGAGUCCUUGCAGGAUCGUGAACUCUCCAGUUCUGGAAAUUUCCAGGCUGGCUCCCUGGCCUGUGUUUCCUGCUGACUGUAGCAACCUUGCUACGACUGCCGGAGAAACCUAUAGACCACCAAGAAGACCUGCACCAGAAGAGGUUGCGUUGUGCCUAGUUGCAGAAGUGGGAAAACAUUUGGACAUAGCAAUAGAAGUGCAGCAUGCGUCUCGUGAAACCUGGGCCUACCUGCAGCGAGCAGUGCUUUCAGACAAGUUUAUGGCAGUUCCCUGCACCACAGGCAUCCGUCCCUCACAGAAUCAUAGAAUCAUAGAAUGGCCUGGGUUGAAAAGGACCACAAUGAUCAUGGAGUUUCAACCCCCUGCUAUGUGCAGGGUCGCCAACCACCAAACCAGGCUGCCCAGAGCCACAUCCAGCCUGGAUGUGUCUCAUCUCCAUAAACAGCCCACAGGCAGCUGAGCUCCUGUCCUAGCAGACACUUGGCUUCUGUUGGUGCCCAGCCCUGUUCAGGAUUUAAUUUUCCUUGGAUCUUGGAGAACACUGAAGAGCUCCGAUGGUCUGGGAUUGCCUGUCUUACACACAGGUCUUCCCAGGAUACUGCUGGCACCAUGAGUGUGAGGGCUUUGGCAGGGAAUUCAGUGCAGUUCACUGCAAACAAGAGCAACAGAAGAUUUAGUGAUGUUAUAGCGCAAGAGACAGGAGAUGAUGGCAAAAAUAGAGCUGAGCAAAAAACCAAACCUACCCAGGGAGAUGGAAGAGCUGAGGAAUUCAGCUCCGUUCAUGGGAGUCUGCAUGGAAUUCCUUGGGUGCAGAGGAGAUAAUCCAACUACCACAGGUAUCUGAAGGAAUAAUGAAACAUUUCAGUGGGAACUAAGUUAAAUUAGAGUCUACUACAUAUAUUUUAGAUUUCCACAAUCUGCUGGAUCUUUAACUUAAAAGUUUAUACCUUUUAGCGGAAAAAUUAAUUUCUCUUUCACAAGUUCCACUUAGAUUUUGUUGCUAAUAAACCCAAGGAUGUAAAUACUAUUAAGUGCAAAACAGCCUGCUGCAUAAUUGUUUCUAAGCAAUUACAGAUUAUAUCG